rnacentral:misc_RNA from 1 species
UGCCGGAUCAUUAACGAUCAAACCUAACAAAGAAAAUGUUACGCAGUGUUGGUCCAAGGACCUUCACGAAGAAGACUGCAAGGGCGGCACUGCUAUUUGCUGCGUAGUCUCAGAGUGGUAUUUACGUCCUACCGUCUCUGAGCAGGCUUGUUUGUGGUCUAUAAACUCUUUAACGGCUUUCGUUGGCUUCUAAGUUUCUCGGAGCAAUUGUCCGCCUCCGUCCGUGGUUGCGUUGACGAGAAACGGUACGUGGUCUUCGUGAUCGCGAGAAUUAAUGAGUGCCAGUGAGCGGCGCCGCCAACAAAAAAACCCCAUGUUUGAAAUUUUUUGGAAGAAAUUUUUAGUCUUAUCGGUGGAUCACUCGGUUCGUAGAUCGAUGAAGAACGCAGCCAACUGCGAUAAAUAGUGCGAACUGCAGAUAUUUUGAGCACUAAAGUUUCGAAUGCACAUUGCGCCAUUGGAUUUUAUCCUUUGGCACGUCUGGCUCAGGGUCGUAAAUAAAACACCCCAAGCAAUUGGUGGGAAAAUCUAGUGCGGAUCACUAAUGUGUCAUUGGCUGUACGUGUUGCCAUGCUUCUAGGCGUACACUGGCCGAUGGCACUUGUGUUCCCACAACGUAACUAUGACCGCUGUUCACGAUUCGGCAGUGUUAGUUGGAAGUCCUAGCGAUUUUUGGACCGAAGACUUUGCACAUUGCUGGAUAGGCGCUGCUGCUGCACUAUUCGACUAGCCUGUUGUCGAUGUGUGGGUCAGCAGCCGUUGGACAGUCGAUUUUUCGACCUGAACUCAGACGUGACUACCCGCUGAACUUAAGCAUAUCAGUAAGCGGAGGAAAAGAAACUAACAAGGAUUCCCGUAGUAACGGCGAGUGAACUGGGAUCAGUCCAGCGCUGAAUCGUGGUGCCCCUUGGGUGCCAUGAGGUGUAGCGUAUAGGCGGUACGCUCUGCAUUGUCAGCCGGUUUAAAUCUCCCUUGACUGGGGUUCCAGAGAAGGUGAAAGGCCUGUUCAACCGGACGAUGGUGUGGAUUGUGCUGUCUUGGAGUCGGGUUGUUUGGGAACUCAGCCCAAAGAAGGUGGUAAACUUCAUCUAAGACUAAAUACGGCUACGAAACCGAUAGCAAACAAGUACUGUGAAGGAAAGUUGCAAAGCACUUUGAAGAGAGAGUUAAAGAGGACGUGAAACCGAUAAGGUGGAAACGGAUAGAGCUGACGUAUCUAGCCUGUAUUCAGCCGGCGGUUUGCUCACCGCUAGUCGGUCGGUCCAGCCUUUGGCUGGCUGGCUGGUGGUUGGGCUCUCUGCUGGUGCAUUUGCAGGUGGUGUGCGCUGAGGCUUGCGCCAAGCAGCGGUCGGAAAGUCGCUUUGAGGUCUCCCUUCGGGCGAGAAACCCGGGCUUCUGGAAGAUUGUUUGCUGCGCGAGUAGGCAGGUUCACGGCUAACGGUCCGAGCCGGCGGUUUGUUCUAUCUGGGGUUGGAGUCGCAUGCGACUCUGCCUCGGUGGGGGCUGACCGUUGGUGAGGCCCCGUGACGUCCCUCAGUGUAAAAGUCGGUCAUCUCUCCGACCCGUCUUGAAACACGGACCAAGGAGUUUAACGAGUGCGCGAGUCAUUGAGUGUGAAAACUCAUAGGCGUAAUGAAAGUAAAGGACUCGCUUGUCGAGCUGAUAUGCGAUCCCGGCCGUUUCGGCGGUUGGGCGCAGCAUAGCCCCGUCCCGACUGCUUGCAGUGGGGCGGAGGAAGAGCGUACUCGCUGAGACCCGAAAGAUGGUGAACUAUGCCUGAGCAGGACGAAGCCAGAGGAAACUCUGGUGGAAGUCCGAAGCGGUUCUGACGUGCAAAUCGAUCGUCUGACUUGGGUAUAGGGGCGAAAGACUAAUCGAACCAUCUAGUAGCUGGUUCCCUC